AAAUACCCCACACUGUUUCAGACACUACUCCAGAAAUCCAAAAUUGGUCAGUGUCUCAGUACUACAGCCACGGUAAACAUUUACUGGUCCCCAACACAGUCCUUCAUUAUUUAUUCAAAAUUCAAAAAAUUAACAAACACACUUAUUUAUGUUUUUUGCAUUUAUACAUGUGUAUAUUAGACAUAAAACAUGUUAUAAAACGAGAUAUUAGCUUAACCUUUGAAGGGUUUUUUAGGUUUUUCUGGUGUUGUGUUUGUUGUGAGGUGUGUUGAGAAAGAUGAGGACUUUAUUAGGUGAAAUGUGUAGGGGUGAGGGCAUUUAAUGAGAACCCCAUCUGAGAUUGACCUUACACUGCAGGGCAGGGCUCAAUUAUGAGACUGCAACGUAGAGUUAUUACAUAAGACGUGAGAAUUAGGGCUUUGAGCUUUGCUUUAUGUGAAUUUGGAAAUAGCAGGCAAAGGGACAAAAACAACAUUCAGUAAAGUAGGACUGGUGGGGAAGAUCCGUUUGUAGCUAAGUUCAUAGGGUUUUGUUUAUGUUCUUUCUCUGUCAAUCAGAAUGGUAGGAACAAAAAACCCUACAAUUUAUGCAUUUUUCUGUGAUGCUGCAAUAUGCUAUGUAUGUGCCACCUCUAUUCAUUUGCAAUGUCCAAUUACACUCUCUGCUUAUUAAUAUCUAUUAUUGAACAUCAAAUGGACAGCCUGCAUAACCCAAUUCAAAUUCAAAUGACUUCUACAGUUAAUGCCUGUGUAUGCAUGUCCUUCUCUAAACUUCAUUUUGAAUGAUUUUCAUCUUAGUUAAGAUUAAGUUUGAAACAAAAUGAUUUACAUGAUUUAUAUUCUCUGUAGAUUGUAAAUAAAAGAAAAUGUAGUGUGCUAUUUAUAUUUCUUUAUUUUUUUAUGAGAAAUGAAUCUCAUUAAUUAAUUCUACUAAUGAUUCGAGAACUCAUAAAAAGUACCCUAAAUCUACAAAUUUUAUAUAAUCUAAAAUAAUUAGAUAAUUCAUAUAAAGGAACUUUAUUUUAAUGUAUAAUGUAUUCUCUUAACAGAAAAAUUGUUAACAAUGUACUUUUUUUAACACUAUAUUUUUUCUUUUAGUCUUUUUUAUAAACAUAAUUUUAAUAUUUUAACAUAAACAACUUAAUAUUAACACAUUUAAGAUGCGAGUCUUAUAAAUUAAGGUUCCUCGAAACAUCCCACAUAUGAGUAUACUCUUGUCUAUAGAUUUGUGAGUCAUGUAAAUUUAAGUGCUUUCUCUAAAUAUGCAACAUGUGAGUAGAUUCUCUUGUUCAUUGCAUAGAAAGUCCUAGAAUUUGUUUCUUCAAAUAAAAUAAAAUGUGUCGAAAAUAAAGGAAACAGAAACUAAAAAAAAGUUCAAAUGGGUGAAAACAAAACCUGUGAUUUCCCAGCUGGGUAAAAAAUCAGAAUGGUAGAAGAUCCCAUAAAAGUAAAUUUUAUUGGAUUGAUACACACUGUCUGAUAAAGAAUGGUUAAAAACUUGCACAGAGUAAAUUCAAUGGUCAAAAGUCAAAACUUAAAUCAUUAAUACAUCUCAACAGCUAGCUAACAGUUUUUUCUGUGGACAUGAUUAUAAAAUUAACUUUAACUAUCUUCUGACCUUGUAUUUACAUAUACCUGUUAAAAGCUUACUAAUAAGAAAGUUAUCAAAAUCUGGAUAAUAUAGUUUAAAAAACCAUGAUUAAAUUUUUUUAUAACAUCUCAACAUUACUAUACUAUUUAGUAUGUUUAUUUUUUUCAUAGUCUAUGGAAUCUAUAUAUAUAUAUGUUCUUCAUAUUUAAUCAUUUAAACAUCUUGUUUUAAGAAGAAUGUGAAUUGAGUUUUAGAAGGCCGAAUACAAUAGUAAUAAAAGUCAGAUAUUAAACUUAAACCAUAAUUAAUUAACAUGCAAAUCAGUUACAUGUUAAUCAAUUGACAUUAGAUUAUUCAAUUUGAACAAGUUUUGAGUAUAUAAUCUAUAUUCAAUGACAAAACAAUGUGAUUAACUUUCAUAAGUAUCUAAAACAGUGUAUUAUAUAAUUUUGAAACCAUAAGGGAGAAAGAUACAUAGAGGUAGCAAAAGCAAGCUAAGAAGUGAUAUGUACGAAGAUCCAAAGAAACAAAACCAUUCACCGUUUAAAAAUGAAACCAAAAUAUUUUUGCAGUUUGGUAGGAAGAGAAUGUCAGCAGAACCUGACAUCAUAAUUUAAGAGGGCAGAGUGUCCAUAUCCAAGCAGGAAUAGUGGGUUCAUUUUUUGAAUCCCAAGAAAACAAACUCUCAUUAUCCUUCCUGUCUCACCCUAGCUAGAAAGGGACAUAUCAACCCUAAUUUUACGUGCAGGUAAUCAUCAUUUAUAUUCACCGCUUCGGUGUUUGAUGCUUUUUUUUGCAAAUUUUUUUCUAUUUUAAUUUUAUUUUCAUUUAUUUAUUUUUAUCCACCUAGACGAGUUUUUUCACUAUAUAUACAGCUCCCCUCACUCUCACAUAUUUCAUGCCACUGUUCAAGCUGAGCUGAACUCACAAACACUUCUUCGGCUCAACUUCAACCACCUUUGUUCGGGUUUUCAACAUGUCUUGCGUAAUGCAGGACAAGUUCUUGAAAAUCUUUCUCAUGAUUCCUCAGAGUCAAGGUCACAGUACUCCAAGUCCAAUGAUGUGGUAGAUGUCAAGGCGGUAUCUCUCCUGAGCUUAUUCUUCUUAUGUUUUUAUUUUAUUUUUUUUAACUUUAUGAAUAAUGUUCAAGUUUUCUUGACCUUGCAAGUCCAAAAACUAUGGCUUUAGGUUAAGAUUACUUGUAACUUAUUUAUAUAAGUAUAAUAUUUAAUAAAGUAGGUAGAAUUUUGUAAAUUUGAUGCUAUCCCUCCUUAUGAGCUUGUUAACGUAUCAUUUCUUAGUUUAUUAUUUAACUUUCAGUAUUGUGAUUUUAUGGUUUGUGUAAUAAAUGUAUUCAUCUUUUCCUAAUUAGUGAAGAUAACGAAAAUGGUUCAUGCCAUCAUGUAUUUGUCUCGAAGUCUCUUUUGAGUGAAGGAAUUGAUUUCUAAUUUUCGUCUUAGAACUUACACGUCUACUGCAAUUCAUUCUUGUUAAUAAAAGCGGGUACUAAAAAUUCAAGAAAAAAUAAAAAGAAUGAAAUACAACUACUUGUGUUUGCAGCUAAAAAUAAAAAUAUGAGUAUCGGCAUAAGCUCUUAAAAAUACAAGAGUGUUAAGAAGGUAGAAUACACUUAACUUUUUGUUUACAUUAACUUUUU
rnacentral:lncRNA from 1 species